rnacentral:rRNA from 1 species
GAUGAACGCUGGCGGCGUGCCUAAUACAUGCAAGUCGAGCGAACGGACGAGAAGCUUGCUUCUCUGAUGUUAGCGGCGGACGGGUGAGUAACACGUGGAUAACCUACCUAUAAGACUGGGAUAACUUCGGGAAACCGUAGCUAAUAACGGAUAAUAUUUUGAACCGCAUGGUUCAAAAGUGAAAGACGGUCUUGCUGUCACUUAUAGAUGGAUCCGCGCUGCAUUAGCUAGUUGGUAAGGUAACGGCUUACCAAGGCAACGAUGCAUAGCCGACCUGAGAGGGUGAUCGGCCACACUGGAACUGAGACACGGUCCAGACUCCUACGGGAGGCAGCAGUAGGGAAUCUUGCGCAAUGGGCGAAAGCCUGACGGAGCAACGCCGCGUGAGUGAUGAAGGUCUUCGGAUCGUAAAACUCUGUUAGUAGGGAAGAACAUAUGUGUAUGAAACUGUGCACAUCUUGACGGUACCUAAUCAGAAAGCCACGGCUAACUACGUG